rnacentral:rRNA from 1 species
UACAGAGGUCUCAAGCGUUGUUCGGAUUCAUUGGGCGUAAAGGGUGCGUAGGCGGCGGAGUAAGUUGGGUGUGAAAUCCCGGGGCUUAACCUCGGAAUGGCAUUCAAUACUGCUUCGCUUGAGUACUGGAGAGGAGGCUGGAAUUUACGGUGUAGCAGUGAAAUGCGUAGAUAUGCGGAGGAACACCGAUGGCGAAGGCAAUCCCCUGGACCUGUACUGACGCUCAUGCACGAAAGCGUGGGGAGCAAACAGG